CUACGGGUGGCACCAGUGAGGAAUAUUGCACAAUGGGGGGAACCCUGAUGCAGCAACGCCGCGUGGAGGAUGACGCAUUUCGGUGUGUAAACUCCUUUUAUAUGUCAAGAAAAUGACGGUAGCAUAUGAAUAAGCACCGGCUAACUCCGUGCCGGCAGCGCGCGGUAAUACGGAGGGUGCAAGCGUUACUCGGAAUCACUGGGCGUAAAGGACGCGUAGGCGGGUUGGAAAGUCAGGUGUGAAAUCCUACAGCUUAACUGUAGAACUGCACUUGAAACUUCUAAUCUAGAGUAUGGGAGGGGGAGAUGGAAUUAGUGGUGUAGGGGUAAAAUCCGUAGAUAUCACUAGGAAUACCUAAAGCGAAGGCGAUCUCCUGGAACAUUACUGACGCUAAGGCGUGAAAGCGUGGGGAGCAAACAGGAUUAGAUACCCCGGUAGUC
rnacentral:rRNA from 1 species